rnacentral:rRNA from 1 species
GUAUAUUAAAGUUGUUGCAGUUAAAAAGAUCGUAGUUGGAUUUCUGUUAAUAAUUUAUAUAAAAUAUUUUGAUGAAUAUUUAUAUAAUAUUAACAUAAUUCAUAUUACUAUAUAUUUUAGUAUAUGAAAUUUUACUUUGAGAAAAUUAGAGUGCUUAAAGCAGGCAUAUGCCUUGAAUACUCCAGCAUGGAAUAAUAUUAAAGAUUUUUAUCUUUCUUAUUGGUUCUAAGAUAAGAAUAAUGAUUAAUAGGGACAGUUGGGGGCAUUUGUAUUUAACAGUCAGAGGUGAAAUU